UUUGUUAGACUGACAUAAAGUCCUUCAGGAAAUACAUGAAGAUGGAUGAGACCUACUGAAAAAUCUUCUGCAUUCUCUUUCGUCUGGAAGUCUUACCAGUGUAUAUGACUCCCUGAUCGUGGUAGCUCAUCUGUCUGCAUUGAAUGCAUUUUCAAAAACAUAAUGCUUUUUCAUUGCCAGUAAUAGUAACAAAUCUGCUCUGAUGCUGGAGUAUCAGCAAGUGAAGAAAAUUUCUCUACUAAAAGUUUUGAUGUAAUAGAAAAUGUUGGCAUGACCUCUACUGACAGAAAAGAAGUUCUCCUCAACGGUUUUUAAUAUGCAGAGAAAUGAGAGUUCAGCUAAAAAGCUGCAUAUGCAGAAAUGCCUCUCAUUUACUCAUGUUGACACAGCAUCGGUUUCAGGAAUUUCUGAAAAUCUUAAAGUUAGCAAAGAACCUGAAGCACAGAUUUUAAACUACAAUCUAGAGAUACCACCUCAAGCCCAAGUCAUAUCAGUACCACUUUCUUGUUUCUCACCUAUAAUGCAGCAACUGAUAUCUACCAGAAUUAAACACGUCUCUGAAGUAAGGGAGGCUACAGAAAUACCAACUGUUACUUAUAUUUGGCCAGUAUUAAAGAUAGGAGAGGCUUGCAAAUGCUCCUGGGGCAGACUUCCAAAUUCCUUAAUAUCAAACAGCCCAAACAUAGCAAGGCGCUGCUCUAGUCCUGAUGUAGUAACUGAAGAUGUAACGUGUUCCCAAGUAACCCCAGUGAAACAGCCCGUACAAGGAGAACACAGCAGCAAGACAACAAAAUCAUAUCCUCUUAUUUUAAAGUCUUCCAAUACUGUUGUUUCAGGAAUUCUGAGAUCAUUGGCUAAUGCUGAGAAUAAGGAUUAUAAGAAUAUUUUACCACUUUCAUCUAUUAGCCCUAUUGGAAAGAAAGUGAAAAUUCCAUUUAAGGAAAAUGCUAUGAUAAUUCAUAAUGGAGAAGUCUACAUCCCUUACAUAAUAAGACAUGAAACUUCAUCAACAGGAAUGGAAAUACACAGUCAAGAUCCGUUGCUCAGGAAGAUCACAGUUUCUUUCAUUACUUGCAGAAUUAUCCGUGAAAGGACAGAACAGUUCCUCAAGAAGGCUGCUUUCCCAUCUGAAGAACUACAAAAUAGAAAUGAGAGAGAAGCACAGCAUAAAAUAGACAAAGAACUAAGAAAGAAAUCUGGUGGUGUUAAAGAUAUAAGAAUACAUCUCAAGAGGAUAAAUUCCAGUGAACUUAAAGAAGAUUUUGGCAAAGCUUCUACAUUUAAAUGGAAGUUCCCCAAGAAGGCUACUUCCCCAUCUGAAGAAUCACAAAGAAGAACUGAGAGAGUAGCGCAACAGAAAGAAGACAAUGAACUAAGAAGGAAAUUUGGUAUUGUUAAAGAUAUAAGAAUCCAUCUCAAGAGGUUAAAAUUUCCACGUGAUUCAGUUGUUUAUCUGCAGCAAAGUUAGCAAUCAGUAACAAAUUACUGUUUCUCUUUGAUCUAUUAUCUCUUGUUCAGUCUGUAGGGUUCAAGUCACAUUUUGUCAGCUAAACCUUAAACUAAUGUCUACUGCUCCUUCCACGAUCUUUGAGAAACUUUUGUUGUCCCGAAGUGAAAACUACAUUGAUGUACACUCAUGAAAAUUCAUGAAAACGUGCUAUAACUUUUUGUGAAAUAUUUCAAGGCCAGAUAAAGCAAAACUUUCCAGAGUAUGUUAAAAGAGCACAGAUAUGAAUUACUUCUCUUUUUUCCUUUCUGCCACUACCAAAAUAAAGCAUCNNNNNNAAAAAAAAAAAAAAAAAAA
ensembl:lncRNA